ensembl:lncRNA
AUCUUCUAUCUUCUACUGUAGAAAGUUUCGUGAAGCCAGGAGACACAUUCUACCCCAAGGCUGGAAUGGGAAGUACUUAUACCAUGAGACAGACCUCUGUGCCACAUGGAAGCUCGUUCCACUCUCUAGCUGCAGCGAACUGAAAAGAUGAGCGACCCAGGGAUGUGUGCACUUUGGGGACCUAUAACAGAAUGUGACUGGCAGAACGGGUGUUGUAUGUGGAGGAUGAGGGCUAUCUUGCGACGGGUAUACAGAGAUGAUGUAACGGAUCUCGUCCUCCUCUUCUGAGGAGGAGUAGCGAGAAGGAUCGGAGGACCAAUGCGCAGCGUGCUCCAAGGCAUAGCGAUUGGUCUCCUCUACUAUGUCUCCCACCAGCUCCUCUGUCAGAAACAACUUG